UGGGGGAUAUUGCACAAUGGGCGAAAGCCUGAUGCAGCGACGCCGCGUGGGGGAUGAAGGCCUUCGGGUUGUAAACUUCUUUUGCUCUGAACAAGGCAUGCUAAUGGGUGUGUUGAGUGUAGGGGUUGAUUAGCGCCGGCUAACUACGUGCCAGCAGCCGCGGUAAUACGUAGGGCGCGAGCGUUGUCCGGAAUUAUUGGGCGUAAAGGGCUUGUAGGUGGGUGGUUGCGUCUGUCGUGAAAGCUCAUGGCUUAACUGUGGGUUUGCGGUGGGUACGGGCUGGCUUGAGUGCAGUAGGGGAGGCUGGAAUUCCUGGUGUAGCGGUGGAAUGCGCAGAUAUCAGGAGGAAUACCGGUGGCGAAGGCGGGUCUCUGGGCUGUUACUGACACUGAGGAGCGAAAGCAUGGGGAGCGAACAGG
rnacentral:rRNA from 1 species